GAAGCGAGGUGCAGAAGGGAGGGACAGAGGAAGGAAGAUAGGGUAAAGGAAAAAAAGAGAGAGAGAAAGGCAAGAGAGCGAGGGAAGGGGAGGGGAACACUGGGAGGGAAGUGGGAGGAGAGCAUAGAGAAGUCACAGGGAGGGAGAAAAAGAGAGAUAGAGAUGGAGAAAGGAGGGAGAAGAAAUGUAGAGGGCAGGAAGGGUGGAGGGAGAAGAGAAAGGAAAAAAAAAGAGAGAGAGAGAGAGAGAGCAUAGGGAUUUGGGGCGUAAUAAAAUGAGGAGACGGAGGGGUGAAAAAAAGAAAUAGUAUUAAAAAAAGGAGAAGAGCACUAGAGGAUGAAAGAGAAGAAAAGAUGUAUUGGAGGAGAGGGGAGCGCGGGAAAGAGAAACGCACAAGAGGGGACAAAUAGCUGAGCUGAGGGACAGAAACAGCAAGCGAGAGAGCGCUAGCAAGAGAACGCCUCGAGGAGGAAAAGAGACAGACACACAGAGCAUCUUGUUACAUGGCAGCCCGGCUGGGAGGCUGAAUCCCUGCCAGGGAGGUAGAGAGAAGAUGUCCCCUCUCUUCGUCGUAAAACUGCGCGGGUUUACUGAUUUGGGACCUACUGAUCAAGACAGACCUUCAGGAUCUGUAGAAUUGCUGAUAAUAUCUGGAAUUCCAGAUGUAGGAAGGAAAAGCAGACGGGAGAAGUUCUGGAAGCCCUUUAUCCAAAAGACAAAGGUAGAUUCUAUCCCAAUCGUUGUAUGCAUGGAUGCUGUUUCAAACAUUUGUAGAAAAAUAAGAGUGAUUCUUCUGGAAAUUGGUAAAAAAAAAAAAACAACAACAAACAGAUGCUGUC